rnacentral:tRNA from 1 species
AACGCACCCGGCGAGCGUAGAGCUGCCUCCGGAGCAGAAGGCCGCAGGUUCGAAUCCUGCCGAGG